AAAGGUCAAAGAAUCGAAUGAAAUGGGAAAUGGAAAACGGCUCAUCGAAGCAAUUUUGGGUCACGAUCGCGGCAGCUCAACCGAGCUCCGCUCGUGUUUUACGGCUUACCCUCUAGCCUUUUGGCUCUGAUAUAGGCGUGGGUGGGUUUAGAAUCAAAUUUUGAAUGAGAAGGGAGAAAAAAUACCUUUUCAGCGUUGGCGGUG
rnacentral:lncRNA from 1 species